CCAGGUCGCAUUAAAGAGGUGUUAUGAUGCCGGUGGUUCAGUUGCUGAGAGCUGCAUCAAAGCAUGCUGGGAACAGGCCCCCACGCUGUGUUGUGCAGACGACCUCUGCAGCACAUGGCGUCAGAACACAUGCUUCAUCCUGCACUGAUAGUGACAAACCCAAAGUCCUCAUUACUGGAGGACUUGGACAGCUGGGGGUGGGGCUUGCUACGUCAUUAAGG